rnacentral:rRNA from 1 species
GAUGAACGCUGGCGGCGUGCCUAAUACAUGCAAGUCGAGCGAACAGACGAGGAGCUUGCUCCUCUGACGUUAGCGGCGGACGGGUGAGUAACACGUGGAUAACCUACCUAUAAGACUGGGAUAACUUCGGGAAACCGGAGCUAAUACCGGAUAAUAUAUUGAACCGCAUGGUUCAAUAGUGAAAGACGGUUUUGCUGUCACUUAUAGAUGGAUCCGCGCCGCAUUAGCUAGUUGGUAAGGUAACGGCUUACCAAGGCAACGAUGCGUAGCCGACCUGAGAGGGUGAUCGGCCACACUGGAACUGAGACACGGUCCAGACUCCUACGGGAGGCAGCAGUAGGGAAUCGUCCGAAAUGGGCGAAAGCCUGACGGAGCAACGCCGCGUGAGUGAUGAAGGUCUUCGGAUCGUAAAACUCUGUUAUUAGGGAAGAACAAAUGUGUAAGUAACUAUGCACGUCUUGACGGUACCUAAUCAGAAAGCCACGGCUAACUACGUG